rnacentral:tRNA from 1 species
GUGGUGUAGUGGUUAUCACGUUCGCUUUACACGCGAAAGGUCCCCGGUUCGAUCCCGGGCGGAACCA